GUUUGAGUCAGCUACAGAGGCAUCAGCCAUUCUGUGCAGCAGCAAAUAGAGUGUGCUCGAGUCCUUCAGAGACAGUAAAAAAAGGGUACAAAGGAAAAUAGGGGGAGACAACAAAGUCUAAAGCCAUAAUGAAAGAGCAAACUGCAAACGAGACCCUCCGGCAGAGCGACGGGGCUGCGGUCCCAGGGGCAGACGCACAUGCUCGCGUGACAACUGAGGCCAUUAAAGUAAAGAGUGCCAAUUUUAGCUAGAAUGAAAACUCCCAAAUCUGUUUCAAAAAAGGCGUAUGUGAGGUGGGUGCUGUAAUUAAUGGCUUUUAUAUAUUAGUUUUCUCUAUCACACCUACUAUUCAGAAUACAGAAAAAUUAGUAGAAGUUUUAGCGGUUCGUAGGCAGAUAUGUUUAUAGGAGUGAGCGCAGCCAGAACUGUUGGUGUUCAGUCUGUAUGUUCAGG
rnacentral:lncRNA from 1 species